UAUUAAAAAUGUUAUCUAUUUGUAUUAUUAAAAACUGGCCUGACUAACGAAAUAACCAGAUAGUGAGACAUGACGUGCCAUGUGUACCUUAUAGGGAUCAGUUUUUAACAACAGAAAUUGAUAAAAUUUAUUAAAA
rnacentral:pre_miRNA from 1 species